GAUGAACGCUGGCGGCGUGCCUAAUACAUGCAAGUCGAGCGAACAGACGAGGAGCUUGCUCCUCUGACGUUAGCGGCGGACGGGUGAGUAACACGUGGAUAACCUACCUAUAAGACUGGGAUAACUUCGGGAAACCGGAGCUAAUACCGGAUAAUAUAUUGAACCGCAUGGUUCAAUAGUGAAAGACGGUUUUGCUGUCACUUAUAGAUGGAUCCGCGCCGCAUUAGCUAGUUGGUAAGGUAACGGCUUACCAAGGCAACGAUGCGUAGCCGACCUGAGAGGGUGGUCGGCCACACUGGAAGUGAGACACGGUCCAGACUCCUACGGGAGGCAGCAGUAGGGAAUCUUCCGCAAUGGGCGAAAGCCUGACGGAGCAACGCCGAGUGAGUGAUGAAGGUCUUCGGAUCGUAAAACUCUGUUAUUAGGGAAGAACAAAUGUGUAAGUAACUAUGCACGUCUUGACGGUACUUAAUCAGAAAGCCACGGCUAACUACGUG
rnacentral:rRNA from 1 species